AACGAACGCUGGCGGCGCGUCUUAAACAUGCAAGUCGAACGGCAGGAAGGGGCUUGCCCCUUCUGAGAGUGGCGGACUGGUGAGUAACACGUGGGUGACAUACCUUUUAGUUGGGGAUAGCUAUUAGAAAUAGUAGGUAAUACCGAAUGUGACCGUACCUGUUAGAGGGGUACGAGGAAAGGAGCUAAGGCUUCGCUAAAAGAAUGGCUCGCGGCCCAUUAUGCUUGUUGGUGAGGUAACGGCCCACCAAGGCGAUGAUGGGUAUCCGGCCUGAGAGGGUGAACGGACACAUUGGGACUGAGAUACGGCCCAGACUUCUACGGGAGGCAGCAGUUAAGAAUAUUCCGCAAUGGACGAAGGUCUGACGGAGCGACGCCGCGUGGAUGAAGAAUGCCGAAAGGUUGUAAAAUCCUUUUAAGCCUGAUGAAUAAGCACAAUAGGGAAUGAUUGUGCGGUGACCGUAGGGCUUGAAUAAGCACCGGCUAAUUACGUGCCAGCAGCCGCGGUAACACGUAAGGGGCGAGCGUUGUUCGGAAUUAUUGGGCGUAAAGGGCAUGUAGGCGGCUAUGUAAGCCUGAUGUGAAAUCCUGGGGCUUAACCCUAGAAUAGCAUUGGGUACUGUAUAGCUUGAAUUACGGAAGGGAAACUGGAAUUCCAAGUGUAGGGGUGGAAUCUGUAGAUAUUUGGAAGAACACCGGUGGCGAAGGCGGGUUUCUGGCCGAUAAUUGACGCUGAGAUGCGAAAGUGUGGGGAUCGAACAGG
rnacentral:rRNA from 1 species